UACGGAGGGGGCUAGCGUUGUUCGGAAUUACUGGGCGUAAAGCGCGCGUAGGCGGACCUGCAAGUCGGGGGUGAAAGCCCGAGGCUCAACCUCGGAACUGCCUUCGAUACUGCGGGUCUCGAGUCCGGGAGAGGUGAGUGGAAUUCCUAGUGUAGAGGUGAAAUUCGUAGAUAUUAGGAAGAACACCAGUGGCGGAAGGCGGCUCACUGGCCCGGUACUGACGCUGAGGCGCGAAAGGCGUGGGGAGCAAACAAGG
rnacentral:rRNA from 1 species